rnacentral:rRNA from 1 species
UGCCCUAGUAACGGCGAGUGAAGCGGCAACAGCUCAAAUUUGAAAGCUGGCCUUCGGGUCCGCAUUGUAAUUUGUAGAGGAUGCUUUGGGGCAGCCGCCUGUCUAAGUUCCUUGGAACAGGACGUCAUAGAGGGUGAGAAUCCCGUAUGUGACAGGACAUGGCACCCUAUGUAAAGCUCCUUCGACGAGUCGAGUUGUUUGGGAAUGCAGCUCUAAAUGGGAGGUAAAUUUCUUCUAAAGCUAAAUACCGGCGAGAGACCGAUAGCGCACAAGUAGAGUGAUCGAAAGAUGAAAAGCACUUUGGAAAGAGAGUUAAAAAGCACGUGAAAUUGUUGAAAGGGAAGCGCUUGCAAUCAGACUUGUUUUGACUGUUCGGCCGGUCUUCUGACCGGUUUACUCAGUCUGGACAGGCCAGCAUCAGUUUUGGCGGCCGGAUAAAGGCUCAGGGAAUGUGGCUCUCACUUCGGUGGGAGUGUUAUAGCCCUGGGUGUAAUACGGCCAGCCGGGACUGAGGUCCGCGCUUCGGCUAGGAUGCUGGCGUAAUGGUUGUAAGCGACCCGUCUUGA